rnacentral:rRNA from 1 species
AUUGAACGCUGGCGGCAGGCCUAACACAUGCAAGUCGCACGAGUGGCGGACGGGUGAGUAAUGUCUGGGAAACUGCCUGAUGGAGGGGGAUAACUACUGGAAACGGUAGCUAAUACCGCAUACCAUCCGAUGUCCCCAGAUGGGAUUAGCUCGUGGGUGGGGUAACGGCUCACCAAGGCGACGAUCCCUCGCUGGUCUGAGAGGAUGACCAGCCACACUGGAACUGAGACACGGUCCAGACUCCUACGGGAGGCAGCAGUGGGGAAUAUUGCACAAUGGGCGGAAGCCUGAGGCAGCCAUGCCGCGGGUAUGAAGAAGGCCUUCGGGUUGGAAAGUAAUUUCAGCGGGGAGGCGUUACCCGCAGAAGAAGCACCGGCUAACUCCGUGCCAGCAGCCGCGGUAAUAC